rnacentral:rRNA from 1 species
UGGGGAAUAUUGCGCAAUGGGCGAAAGCCUGACGCAGCGACGCCGCGUGAGGGAUGAAGGUUUUCGGAUCGUAAACCUCUGUCAGAAGGGAAGAAACCGCACUGUGCUAAUCAGCAGUGCCUUGACGGUACCUUCAAAGGAAGCACCGGCUAACUCCGUGCCAGCAGCCGCGGUAAUAAGGAGGGUGCAAGCGUUAAUCGGAAUUACUGGGCGUAAAGCGCACGUAGGCUGCUUUGUAAGUCAGGGGGGAAAUCCCACGGCUCAACCGUGGAACUGCCUUUGAUACUGCUUAGCUUUAAUCCGGGAGAGGGUGGCGGAAUUCCAGGUGUAGGAGUGAAAUCCGUAGAUAUCUGGAGGAACAUCAGUGGCGAAGGCGGCCACCUGGACCGGUAUUGACGCUGAGGUGCGAAAGCGUGGAGAGCAAACAGG